GACGAACGCUGGCGGCGUGCUUAACACAUGCAAGUCGAACGGAAAGGCCCUGCUUUUGUGGGGUGCUCGAGUGGCGAACGGGUGAGUAACACGUGAGUAACCUGCCCUUGACUUUGGGAUAACUUCAGGAAACUGGGGCUAAUACCGGAUAGGAGCUCCUGCUGCAUGGUGGGGGUUGGAAAGUUUCGGCGGUUGGGGAUGGACUCGCGGCUUAUCAGCUUGUUGGUGGGGUAGUGGCUUACCAAGGCUUUGACGGGUAGCCGGCCUGAGAGGGUGACCGGCCACAUUGGGACUGAGAUACGGCCCAGACUGCUACGGGGGGCAGCAGGGGGGAAUAUUGCGCAAUGGGCGGGAGCCUGAUGCAGCAACGCCGCGUGCGGGAUGACGGCCUUCGGGGUGUAAACCGCUUUCGCCUGUGACGAAGCGUGAGUGACGGUAAUGGGUAAAGAAGCACCGGCUAACUACGUG
rnacentral:rRNA from 1 species